rnacentral:rRNA from 1 species
CACCGGCGGCUCGAGUGGUGGCCACUUUUAUUGGGUCUAAAGCGUCCGUAGCCGGCUUGGCAAGUCCCCUGGGAAAUCUGGCGGCUUAACCGUCAGGCGUCCAGAGGAUACUGCCAGGCUUGGGACCGGGAGAGGUGAGAGGUACCUCGGGGGUAGGGGUGAAAUCUUGUAAUCCUCGAGGGACCACCAGUGGCGAAGGCGUCUCACCAGAACGGAUCCGACGGCAAGGGACGAAAGCUAGGGGCACGAACCGG